rnacentral:rRNA from 1 species
AUUGAACGCUGGCGGCAGGCCUAACACAUGCAAGUCGAACGGUAACAGGAAGAAGCUUGCUUCUUUGCUGACGAGUGGCGGACGGGUGAGUAAUGUCUGGGAAACUGCCUGAUGGAGGGGGAUAACUACUGGAAACGGUAGCUAAUACCGCAUAACGUCGCAAGACCAAAAAGGGGGACCUUCGGGCCUCUUUCCAUCGGAUGUGCCCCGAUGGGAUUAGCUAGGAGGUGGGGUAACGGCUCACCUAGGCGACGGUCCCUAGCUGGUCUGAGAGGGUGACCAGGCAAGCCGGAAAGGAGGCACGGGCCAGACGGCAACGGGAGGCAGCAGUGGGGAAUAUUGGACGAAGGGGGGAAGACUUAUGCCGACAGGGCGCGGGUAUGAAGGAGGGCUUCCGGGUGUAAAAGACUUUCAGCGGGGAGGAAGGGAGUAAAGUUAAUACCUUUGCUCAUUGACGGUACCCGCAGAAGAAGCACCGGCUAACUCCGUG